GGGCACAUGGUGUAGUUGGUUAUCACGCUCGCUUAGCAACUGCUCAACUGCGAGAGGUGUUGGGUUCAAUUCCCAAUGUGUCCA
rnacentral:tRNA from 1 species